rnacentral:rRNA from 1 species
AUCCGCUUUGAGAUGGCCUCGCGUCCGAUUAGCUGGUUGGUGAGGUAACGGCCCACCAAGGCAACGAUCGGUAGCCGGACUGAGAGGUUGAACGGCCACAUUGGGACUGAGACACGGCCCAGACUCCUACGGGAGGCAGCAGUGGGGAAUAUUGCACAAUGGGGGAAACCCUGAUGCAGCGACGCCGCGUGGAGGAAGAAGGUCUUCGGAUUGUAAACUCCUGUUGUUGAGGAAGAUAAUGACGGUACUCAACAAGGAAGUGACGGCUAACUACGUGCCAGCAGCCGCGGUAAAACGUAGGUCACAAGCGUUGUCCGGAAUUACUGGGUGUAAAGGGAGCGCAGGCGGGAAGACAAGUUGGAAGUGAAAUCUAUGGGCUCAACCCAUAAACUGCUUUCAAAACUGUUUUUCUUGAGUAGUGCAGAGGUAGGCGGAAUUCCCGGUGUAGCGGUGGAAUGCGUAGAUAUCGGGAGGAACACCAGUGGCGAAGGCGGCCUACUGGGCACCAACUGACGCUGAGGCUCGAAAGUGUGGGUAGCAAACAGGAUUAGAUACCCUGGUAGUCCACACCGUAAACGAUGAUUACUAGGUGUUGGAGGAUUGAUCCCUUCAGUGCCGCAGUUAACACAAUAAGUAAUCCACCUGGGGAGUACGACCGCAAGGUUGAAACUCAAAGGAAUUGACGGGGGCCCGCACAAGCAGUGGAGUAUGUGGUUUAAUUC